rnacentral:rRNA from 1 species
UACGUAGGGGGCAAGCGUUGUCCGGAUUUAUUGGGCGUAAAGAGCGUGUAGGCGGCCAGGUAGGUCCGUUGUGAAAACUGGAGGCUUAACCUCCAGCUGUCGAUGGAAACCAUCUGGCUAGAGUCCGGAAGAGGAGAGUGGAAUUCCUGGUGUAGCGGUGAAAUGCGCAGAUAUCAGGAGGAACACCAAUGGCGAAGGCAGCUCGCUGGGACGGUACUGACACUGAGACGCGAAAGCGUGGGGAGCAAACAGG